rnacentral:pre_miRNA from 1 species
UACAUUGAUAUCUAUCCAUGUAGCAGUCAAGAAACAAUAACAUCUGUUAUUGUUUCUUGACUGCUACAUGGAUAGAUGUUAUUGUUUCUUGACUGCUACAUGGAUAGAUGUUAUUG